rnacentral:rRNA from 1 species
UACGUAGGGCGCAAGCGUUAUCCGGAAUUAUUGGGCGUAAAGAGCUCGUAGGCGGUUCGGUAAGUCGGGUGUGAAACCUCCAGGCUCAACCUGGAGACGCCACCCGAUACUGCUGUGACUAGAGUCCGGUAGGGGAGCGUGGAAUUCCUGGUGUAGCGGUGAAAUGCGCAGAUAUCAGGAGGAACACCAGCGGCGAAGGCGGCGCUCUGGGCCGGAACUGACGCUGAGGAGCGAAAGCGUGGGGAGCAAACAGG